UUGGCCGCUCUACUCAUCGAUCCCUCAAAACGGAUCUUUGAACCCCUGCUCAGGCUCCGAUGGCGGCAGAGAGAACAGGGAUUCGACGACGAGGUACUUUCUUUCCCCCCUUUUUUAUGCUACCAUUUCUUUCUUUAACAAACACCCAGUGGAACCUCAAACAAGAAACGAAAUGAGAAAAAUAAAAAAGGAAGAAGGAGAACCCCGAAAUCACCUUUUGGUGUUUUUUUGAUUUUUUGUAUUCAGAUUGCGUAAGUAGUGUUACAGCAUACUCUUGGUCUUUUUAUAGUAUCUAUUUACAGAAAAAUGAAAAAUAAAAAUAAAAAUAAAAACAAAUCGCCCCCAUUCUGUUAUCUUUGCUUUUUUUUUCUCUGCCCCUUUUGUGUGCCGUUGUUGUCUGUUUUACUGCUCAUUUGUUCGUCUCUUGCAAGUACGGUGUACAGAGGUACGGACGUGGCGCGUACGGAGGCGAAGGCGCGCCCGUACGAAAGCUCGUCACGUGUGGAAGGAGAGCGAAGAGACGCUACUGCUAAGGCGCUGGGAACCCUUGCUGCUAAGGUUUCUGACUUCUGGUUUAGGCCAGUUGGGCUAGGGUAUUCGGCUAGGGGUAUUUGGCUUAGUGGUUGUGUUUAGUUUGGGCCAUAUUGAGCCCAGUGUAAAUGGACAUUUAAAAUGAACUGUUUUUAUUGGUUUAUAUUUUUUGUUUAUUUAUUUCUGAUUUGGAGCCGGGUAAAUUUGGG
rnacentral:lncRNA from 1 species